CCAGGGUGGCUCCAGCACCGAGGCUGCCAGUGAAGGACUGGUGUGACUGCUUUGCUGAAAGUCACAGCCAACAGCAACGCAGAAAUGAGCACAGCCUGACCAGAAUAUUUACAUUUUAUUAAAUCUUUACAAUCAGCAGUUAUAAUCAAGUACACAAUUAUGUACACGGAUUAUGUACAUUUUAGCCCAGACUUUUACAUCACAGUACAUAGUUGCCCUUAGAAAUAUUGGGUACAUUUAUCACCAGAGAGUAAAACCCAACAAUAGUGUUACAGCACCUGUUAUUAGACAUCUUCCAUAAGAAAAUAUACGGCUGUAAAUUGGUCUGGCUAAAAAAAGAAAAAAAAACCAAACCAAAAAUCUUAUAAAAUCUGAACAUACAAUUUUCAUUCACAGAAUGGUUUGUUUUCUAUGUUCUGACUGAAGCCUGUUGCAUAAGAUGUCCUGUUUUUCACCUCUCAACACACACUCAUUGGUGCCUACUCAGGGACACUGGCAGGAGGAGGAGAACCAGAGCUGGGCUCAUUCUCAAACUUCAUUAAGAAACAAUAAAUGUAAACAAUUAAAAGAUUCCUCUAAGAUCAAAUGAGAAAUUAAUUGGCUGAUCUGACUUACAUGGCAUGGAAUAAGUGCUACUUGCAGCUGUGAUUCCUGAAUUCCUCAGUGUUCAAUACCAUACAAAGAAAUGCACAAUGCUAUACUCUAAGGGUGAUUCCUGAUUAAUGAUGAGCAAUAUUCCAUAUGCAGGGAGCAGACUUCCAAACACUUGGGAAGAACACUCUCUGCCCUUUCCAAAAGGGCUUUUCUUUUUGAUGAAUACAUUCUUUUUGCUUUUGAAGAUGAUAGCAACAGAAAACUGAAUUAUUUCCAGAGUGAUAUGAACAGGUUAAACUAAAGCCUAUGUCCUCUUAAGGAAAUACAAAGUGAAAAUAACCUGAAUAAAACUGUCCCCCCAAUUUAAUCCUCUUUCCCAAAAGGUCAACCUUGCCUGAUUCAGUUCUGUAAACGAAGCUAUGGCUCUUGUGAUGGUUUCAAAGGUGAAGCACAACUAAAUGAAACAAAAACCACUUCAAAAGGAAGGAGGCAACAGUAAUCUGAGGUAGGCCACCACCAAAAUGCUGCCCCCUAAAUCCAUAUGGAGUUCUGGGAUCCCUGAAAGGUAAUGCCUCUGCUCUAAUAACAGGUGGAGAAAGCAGUUCCUAAAAAUGAGCUGAUGAGUGAUGGCAAGGAAAGUUAACCUUUUAAUAAAAUUUGACAUCUACACCUAAAUCUGCAAGUAAAAAAAAAAAAAAAGAAAACCUGCUAUUUUGAGAUAAUAA